GAUGAACGCUGGCGGCGUGCCUAAUACAUGCAAGUCGAGCGAACAGACGAGGAGCUUGCUCCUCUGACGUUAGCGGCGUACGGGUGAGUAACACGUGGAUAACCUACCUAUAAGACUGGGAUAACUUCGGGAAACCGGAGCUAAUACCGGAUAAUAUAUUUAACCGCAUGUUUCAAUAGUGAAAGACGGUUUUGCUUUCACUUAUAGAUGGAUCCGCGCCGCAUUAGCUAGUUGGUAAGGUAACGGCUUACCAAGGCAACGAUGCGUAGCCGACCUGAGAGGGUGAUCGGCCACACUGGAACUGAGACACGGUCCAGACUCCUACGGGAGGCAGCAGUAGGGAAUCUUCAGCAAUGGGCGAAAGCCUGACGGAGCAACGCCGCGUGAGUGAUGAAGGUCUUCGGAUCGUAAAACUCUGUUAUUAGGGAAGAAAAAAUGUGUAAGUAACUAUGCACGUCUUGACGGUACCUAAUCAGAAAGCCACGGCUAACUACGUG
rnacentral:rRNA from 1 species